rnacentral:rRNA from 1 species
GACGAACGCUGGCGGCGGUGCCUAACACAUGCAAGUCGAACGGAAGUAAGUGCUUCGGUAUUUACUUUAGUGGCGAACGGGUGAGUAACGCGUGAGGAACCUGCCUUUCAGUGGGGGACAACAGUUGGAAACGACUGCUAAUACCGCAUGACGCUUCUUGGGGGCAUCCCUGAGAAGUCAAAGCUUUAUGUGCUGAAAGAUGGCCUCGCGUCUGAUUAGCUAGUUGGUGGGGUAACGGCCCACCAAGGCGACGAUCAGUAGCCGGUCUGAGAGGAUGAACGGCCACAUUGGGACUGAGAUACGGCCCAG